GAACGGCAGCACAGGUAGCAAUACCGGGUGGCGAGUGGCGGACGGGUGAGUAAGGCAUCGGGAUCUACCCAGACGUGGGGGAUAACCUCGGGAAACCGGGACUAAUACCGCAUACGUCCUACGGGAGAAAGCGGGGGACCUUCGGGCCUCGCGCGGCUGGACGAACCGAUGUGCGAUUAGCUUGUUGGCGGGGUAAUGGCCCACCAAGGCGACGAUCGCUAGCUGGUCUGAGAGGAUGAUCAGCCACACUGGGACUGAGACACGGCCCAGACUCCUACGGGAGGCAGCAGUGGGGAAUAUUGGACAAUGGGCGCAAGCCUGAUCCAGCAAUGCCGCGUGUGUGAAGAAGGCCUUCGGGUUGUAAAGCACUUUUAUCAGGAGCGAAAUACUACCGGCUAAUAUCCGGUGGGGCUGA
rnacentral:rRNA from 1 species